CGAGUACUCCUUGAUGUCAGAGAAUCCAACAUAACUAAGGAGUGAUUUGACAAAGUUCUGAAAGCUGGUUCUAAUGUUGUAUUUACCACCAGGGGAAUUGAUGAUAUGUCUUUGAAGAGCUAUGAAGUAGUAGCCGCCUGUCGCUCUUCUCGAUGAUGGUGAUAAUGCAAGGUAGCGGUGGCCUGUUAAUAUCAAGACCCAUGACGCAGUGAUGCGAAAAUGUUCAAGCAACUCACUCAAGAGCAUGGUGUUUACUCUGGCAGUGAGAAAAUCCAAGAUCUUGUCUUGGCUAAAAGAGAGUUAUGUGGAUGGUGUUCCUCCCACUGAGCAGCAUACAAUGGUAUCUUCUGGUGUUUUUACAGAAGAGAGUUGAGUGAGAAAUG